CCUACCAAGGCGACGACGGGUAGCUGGUCUGAGAGGAUGAUCAGCCACACUGGCACUGGAACACGGGCCAGACUCCUACGGGAGGCAGCAGUGAGGAAUUUUGCGCAAUGGCCGCAAGGCUGACGCAGCAACGCCGCGUGGGUGAAGAAGGCCUUCGGGUCGUAAAGCCCUGUCAGGUGGGAAGAACACCAUGGGGAUGAAUAAGCUUCAUGGCUGACGGUACCACCAGAGGAAGCACCGGCUAACUCCGUGCCAGCAGCCGCGGUAAUACGGAGGGUGCGAGCGUUAUUCGGAAUUACUGGGCGUAAAGCGCGUGCAGGCGGUUUGGCAAGUCUGAUGUGAAAGCCCCGGGCUUAACCUGGGAAGUGCAUUGGAAACUGCCGGACUUGAGUACUGGAGAGGAAGGGGGAAUUCCCGGUGUAGAGGUGAAAUUCGUAGAGAUCGGGAGGAAUACCAGUGGCGAAGGCGCCCUUCUGGACGGUUACUGACGCUGAGACGCGAAAGCGUGGGGAGCAAACAGGAUUAGAUACCCUGGUAGUCCACGCUGUAAACGAUGAGCACUAGGUGUAGCGGGUACUCAUUCCUGCUGUGCCGCAGCUAACGCG
rnacentral:rRNA from 1 species